rnacentral:lncRNA from 1 species
AGUGACACCCGAACCCGACGAUGCAGACCCGCCAGAAACCCUAAUAUCCUCUCCGGAAACCGUUUGACCACCCUGGGAGCCGAAGGCGGGGUGUUGGUGGGAAGAGAGGCUCAAAGACAGUCCCUGCUUGGCGCGUGGGGUGUCACGCGCGGGUGGACUAGGGUAAUUGGGGUUGUACAGGUUGUAGUGGACGCGCGGCAGGAGUCCAUGCAGAGGGGAGAUGGAGUCAUCCUGAUGAGCGGUGGUGGGGAUGCCGACGAAGUGUUGAGUGUGGGAAGGUGGCGGCGGCGCGUGAGGGGAGAUGGCAGAGGAGUUGAGGAAAAUGAGGCUGUUGUGAGCCGGCGCCGGCGCCGGAGGAGGAUUUGUGUCGGAGAAUUGUUGCUGUUGCUGUUGUUGUUGUUGAACGUAAGUUGUAGGGUUCAUAAGUACGAGGGUUUGAAGCCCAUCUGGGGCUUGAAACUCAGCUGGGUUCCCAUGAAAGUACGUUGCCAUCCUGUUACCUUAUUAUUUUGAUCUUGUGUUCUUGAAAAACGAAACCGAAACGAACUGAAAAUGAAAAGGGAUUACGUUAGUUUUCACUUUCACAUGACAUGCUCAUGCAUAUCAAUAUCAAUAUCAAUAUCAGUAUAUAUCAUAUAUCACAUGUUUGUUUCGGGAAAAAACAUAGUACAAUUAUGUUUUUAUUUACCUUAUAAUUGCCUGAUUUGAGUCUUAAUUUGAGCAAUCAGCCCAUCGAUGGAUCGAUCUUAUCAAGCAAAACCUGAAAGGAAAUUGACAGAUGAUGGAUAAUUUAUUCAUAUUUAUUCAUCUUCUAUGUGGCUAGAAGAUGAUGGUGAAGAGGAAAAGGAAAGGGAGUGAAACAAGAAGGGAUGUAGGUUAUAUAUAUAUAUAUAUAUAUAGAGAGAGAGAGAGAGAGAGAGAGAGAGAGAGAGAGAGAAUUGAAUUGAAUAAGAAGGUAUUUGUUAACAAUAAUAUCAAGUACCUGGUGUGAAGGAAAAUUGAGUGUGCACGUGCAGCUUCAUGAUCAAUCUACACUGCUGCAAGGGGAAAGAAUGGAAGGAAAAGGGAAAAAAGAGUUCAUUUAAAAGAAAUGACCUUACUAUUGUUAAGACAAGCAAACAAACAAAGCCCCCAUGAAAGUGAACAUUUUGAAAGAACAGAAGAAAGAAAUGAUCAGCAUAGAUAAAUACUAGAGUACAGUUACAUGGGAGAUGGUGGGGGGAGGGAAAGGAAGCAACACAAGAAACUAACCUGCUGCCUAUAUAUGAAUCUUCACUAAUAGGUGAAAGCACUUUGUCAGACUUCAAAUCUCUGCAACUUCCCCACUGAAAAGGAAAAAAUAUAUUAUAAGUUAUGAGAGAGAUGGGGUUAUUAUUAAAAAGGCUGGGAAAAAGAUACCCAUCUUUAUUCACUCAUUAUCCACACACACAUAUUUAAUCUCACCUCUUUUUUUUUCUUUUUCUUUUUUCCAAUCAAACCGAACAGAAAAAGAAAAAAAAAAUCAAAUUUUCUUUAAAAAAAAAAAUGAGUAAAUUGAGGUUAUGUGAUUGUGAAAGGUUGUUAUUCUUUACUACACAAAUAGUAGUUUUUUUUUUUUCAAAUUUUGGGUUUUCUUUUACGGCUUCUGAGAGAAGUACCUGCGAAUGGAUCAAAACAAGGGAACUUCAAUUUGGUGAUUUGACUCUUCUGCCAUGCUUUGCUUUUCAAAUCAUUUGAUAUGGAGCAGAGCAGUGAUGAGCUACAGAAAAUUCUUGAGUGAGAGUGCGAGGAGAGAGGGAGAUGUGUGUGUGUAUCUCUGUAUGUAAUUUUUUUGUACUACCAAUGAAAUAUAUUUAGCAUGAGUGUGCAUAUAUAUAUAUAUAUAUAUAUAUAACGCGAUAAAACGAAAUUUCAUAUCCAUAAUAAUAAUAAUAAUAAGCGUGUCAGAUGACACAAACAGCUGAAAAACGAGGAAACGUCUUCUUCUAACAAAGUUUGUAAUUAAAAAUUUUAUAAACGAAUACAUACAUAUAUAUGAAAGGAAAGAUGAUGAUGAUGAUGAUGAUGAUGAUGAUGAUAAUGAUAAAGAGUAUAGUGUUGAAUUUGGCGAGAGGGGUCCCCCUAUUUGUUGAUUUUCAUAUUAAAUAAAUAUCCGUUUGUCUCUUUUUUGAUAUUUUCAUUUUGUGAUUAAUUUGGUUAUUUUUUGUGGUUGGAUGACCGAGUUUCAAGAUAAAGCAAUUAAAUUGCAGGGGACCAACCACCAUUACAGCUUCUAUAAGCUUUAAUUGCAUAUCUAUUUAUCUAUUUAUUAUAGAAUUAAUUUCUGUUGAAUAUAUAUGCAGCACGUAUAAAAAUGAAUGACAAUAAAAUUUCAAUACCAAAGAAUAUACCCGAUAGUAAAUAAUUUAUCAGAUAGUCGACUAAAAAUUAUAAUUAUGAUCUUACUUAAGUUAACUCAAAGUUUAUUAAAAGAUCUAGCUGACAUGUGAUUCAAUGGUUUCAUUAACAAAGUAGAUAAAAAUAUGUUUUCUACAACUUUAAUUGAGCACUAAUUAUAAACUUGAUAUUUACUUAAGUAAAGCACCAAAUCGAUCAUGGGGAAAGAAAAAAAAAAUCUUAUCUUAUAUAUAUACAUGUAAGAGAGCAUCAUAAUCAAGCGAUAAUUUAAAGUAUAAGGUCCCCCACUAGGUUCUAGUACAUGAAACCUACUAGAAAAACUAUAGAAGAUCGUAUGGGGAAAAAAAUUAUAAAUGAUUGGGUCAACUAUUAGCUUCUGCCAUUUUCUCCUCCUUUUUUUUUUUUUUUUUUUUUUGAGUUCCUUUGAUCUUAAUUUAUUUAUGUAUUUAUUUGUCUUGAUCUUCAAUCACCUUUUGAGAGCAUCAAAGGAUCCAUAGAUAGAGUUCAUAAUCUAAUCAAAUCUGAAGAAAUUAAUUUAUAGAACAAAGACGGAGGUGUUUGGUGGUAAAAAAAUACUAUAAAAAAACUAUAUGUACUAAUGAAUGGAAAUAUAAAUUAAACAAAUUAAUUAAGAAGGUACAGCAGAUCUAAUUACUUGAUUAAUUAAUUAACUAAACCUAAAUAUCUGAAACCAUAAUUUUCAGAAACUUUUCUAUCGCCAUCAUCAGUAACAAUGAUGGUGCAAAGAAUGACUACUGACACAAACUUUUGAGUUAAUGAUGUUAAUAGGACUAGUUUUCAAAGCAGACACAUUCUAUUCUAUUCUAUUCUAUUCUAAUCUAUUCAUAGGCACUAUAAUAAUUAACAUAUCCAUGCUAUUAAUUAAUUUUCUGAAGCAUCCAUAAUUUAGAAUAAUAAUUCCUAGGAUUCUUCUUUGAGAAACAAUUUGUAUCGCUUUUCAAUUUUUACUUCUCUCUCUGUUACAGGCUUUUACUGGGAUUGUUUUCACUUCUAGUGAAAGCUCCUGCCAUGAUUUUUCACAUCAUCCCCUUUUUUUAUUAUUGUGUGGCACUUUCUACUUUUAUGGCUUGUUGUUGUACUCUUCGUUCUUUUUAACAAAGUUUGACUCUUUAUUGAGUAGAUAAAAUCAAUCUUAGGGUAUACAUCUCGAUUUAGGCAAUGUAUGUUACAUGUAACAUUCAAUACCAUAGUUUCUAUCAUAUCAAAUGGCCCUCUUUUUUAUCAUGCAUAUUUUAAUAGCUGAUGAGUGAUUAAUAAACAUUAACUAUAACUUAAUCAAUUUUAAUUAAAUUCAAUUAAAAUACGAGCACAAUACGUCUAAAUACAGAUGUCCAAAUUUUUGUUGAUUAAAAUAUCAAUUUCUCAUUUUUUGUACAUGGCCAAUUCAAAAUAUCUAAGUUAACUAAUUGACUUUCACUUGAAAUGAUAAAUUUGAGAAAAAAAAAAAAAAUUACACACAGCGACAACAGCAUAAGAAGGCAUCAAUCAUGCAAUAAAAAAGUGGGAUAAAAUCAUAUGAUUGAAGUGUCAGAUCCUCUUUGAAUUAUGAACGAUUAACCUUUAAAAUAUAGUUAAUGGGUUUAAUCAAUCAAUUACUAACUACUGCAUUAACUAGACCUUUCUAUAAUUGUAAAAUUAAAGUGCCACGUGUCUUUGUGGAUGAUUGCCCCUGGCAUUCAUUUCCACAAAUUGAGUGUUUGAAUGUAGCGAUUGAUGUUAAAAAUCUAGCUAAAAGUUAAUGAAACUAACCGUUCUAAAAUAGCACGUUGUCCGUCAAAUAAAUGAAUUCAUAAAAAAAAAUACACAUAAAAUAUCUACGCAUGGAUCCAUCAUCCAUCAAGGUUACCUACCAAAUCUCAUUUUUCCCUUUCCUAUGCUAUGUGUUAUCCAAUGUCACAUAUUUUUCACUAGCUUAGGCUCGUUUAAGGGUCUAUUUGAAUAUAAUUACUGAAAACAAGGAAUAAAAGUAAAAUGAUUGAGUUAUGUCAUUAAUAAUUAUGUACUUUUCGGUAGGGUAU